rnacentral:rRNA from 1 species
UACGGAGGGUGCAAGCGUUAAUCGGAAUUACUGGGCGUAAAGCGCGCGUAGGCGGCUGGAUAAGUCGAUUGUGAAAGCCCCGGGCUCAACCUGGGAAUUGCAGUCGAGACUGUUCGGCUAGAGUGUGGGAGAGGGCAGUGGAAUUCCCGGUGUAGCGGUGAAAUGCGUAGAUAUCGGGAGGAAUACCUAUGGCGAAAGCAGGCUACUGGACCAUCACUGACGCUGAUCUGCGAAAGCUAGGGGAGCAAACAGG